UGAAUACGAGAUGCUACGGCGUCGAAGCAGUGUAUGUCAGACUUCCAAGAAAAGCUCGCAAUGUCAUAAAUAAAGAAUGCCUGUACCAUAACCGACACAGGUGGGUAGGUAGAGUAUACUAAGGGGCGCGAGAUAACUCUCUCUAAGGAACUCGGCAAAAUAACUCCGUAACUUCGGGAGAAGGAGUGCCUUCUUUAAGAAGGUUGCAAUAACAAGAUCCAAGCAACUGUUUAUCAAAAACACAGGUCUCCGCUAAGUCGUAAGACGAUGUAUGGGGGCUGACGCCUGCCCAGUGCCAGAAGGUUAAAGAAGCUGGUUAGCAAUAGCGAAGCUGGUGACUGAAGCCCUGGUGAACGGCGGCCGUAACUAUAACGGUCCUAAGGUAGCGAAAUUCCUUGUCGGGUAAGUUCCGACCCGCACGAAAGGCGUAAUGAUUUGGAUGCUGUCUCGGAGAGGGACUCGGUGAAAUAGACUUGUCUGUGAAGAUGCGGACUACCUGCACCAGGACAGAAAGACCCUAUGAAGCUUUACUGUAACCUGAAAUUGAAAUUGGACUUUAUUUGCGCAGUAUAGGUGGGAGGCGUUGAAAGUAAUCUUGCGGGAUUAGUGGAGCCAUCAGUGAGAUACCACUCCUAUAAUGUUAGAUUUCUAACUUUGGAUCAUGAUCUGGUCAAAGAACAGUUUCAGGCGGGCAGUUUGACUGGGGCGGUCGCCUCCCAAAUGGUAACGGAGGCGUACAAAGGUUUCCUCUGAACGGGUAGAAAUCGUAUCUAGAGUGUAAAGGCAUAAGGAAGCUUGACUGUGAGACCUACAAGUCGAGCAGGGACGAAAGUCGGUCUUAGUGAUCUGACGGUGCUGAGUGGAAAGGCCGUCACUCAACGGAUAAGAGUUACUCUAGGAUAACAGGCUGAUCUCCCCCAAGAGUUCACAUCGACGGGGAGGUUUGGCACCUCGAUGUCGGCUCAUCGCAUCCUGGGGCGGUAGUACGUCCCAAGGGUUGGGCUGUUCGCCCACGAAAGCGGUACGCGAGCUGGGUUCAGAACGUCGUGAGACAGUUCGGUCCAUAUCCGGUGUAGGCGUUAGAAUAUUGAGAGGAGCCUUCUCUAGUACGAGAGGACCGAGAAGGACAUACCUCUGGUGUACCAGUUAUCGUGCCAACGGUAAACGCUGGGUAGCUAUGUAUGGAGAGGAUAACCGCUGAAAGCAUCUAAGUGGGAAGCCCACCUCAAGAUGAGUAUUCUCA
rnacentral:rRNA from 1 species